UACGUAGGGUCCGAGCGUUGUCCGGAAUUAUUGGGCGUAAAGGGCUUGUAGGCGGUUUGUCGCGUCGGGAGUGAAAACCUACAGCUUAACUGUGGGCUUGCUUUCGAUACGGGCAGACUUGAGGCAUGCAGGGGAGAACGGAAUUCCUGGUGUAGCGGUGAAAUGCGCAGAUAUCAGGAGGAACACCGGUGGCGAAGGCGGUUCUCUGGGCAUGUUCUGACGCUGAGGAGCGAAAGUGUGGGGAGCGAACAGG
rnacentral:rRNA from 1 species